CUUUUGGAAAUCUGUUGCCAUGGAUACCACAACAAACAUCUCCGUAAACUCCGCCAGCCACACUUUCCUGCUCACGCAGCAAACGUCAUACAGGCAGAGAUGCCGAUCGCAUCUGGAGCUGCAGGCAGGGUGAAUGUAGGAGUUGACAGAAACACAACAUGGGCACCAGAUGGACUGAGGAAGACCAACCCUGCCCACAGAAACCAUGACUCCUAUCUGCAACGAUUUCUGGAGCAGAGAAAGAAAAACCAAAGUAGCUUGUUGCAGGUAAGUGCUGUUGUCAAGUGUAUGCUCAUAACUUGUUGGUUGAAAGGCUGAUGGACACCAUGUGGUGAUGUGACUGUCAUUCAAUUGAGUGAUGUUUCAUUCAGGGCGCACAGGACAACACAGAUCUGAUUGAUCAGGAGAAUGACGGUGAGAACGCUGACAAUUUGAAACAAAAGAAAACAUCAGGAUUACAUCAACAUUCACACAGUUAAAGUGAGUGAAAUCCUCCUUUAAUUUGUCUUUAGGGGCCAAAGAAGGGAACCCAGAGGAAAAUGGCAACAUCAACGAUCCCGCUUCAGAAAAAACAUCCAGGGGAGAGAAACCCAAAAAAUCUCUGCUGUGUGUUCUCCUUUAAGGAUAUGUGUGUGUUUUUAAUGAACUGUGCUUUCACA